CACCUCCGAGCCUUCAUUGCUGAGGACAUGGAGUCUGUACUCUGCUCACCGCUGGCUUGUGUAGCACAGCUUUCCUCAACCUCACCAAGAACUGGGAACAGAUUGCUGUCAUUCUGAGUGGAUCAGAGAACACCAAGACAGAUGAUUUCAAGAAUGCCCAGACCUCUAUCCUCAAUAUGAUGAAAUCAAUGUGGCAGAAAUGCUCCAAGUAACAGUGCUCCUCAGCCAGCCAACUGGGUGGACAAGCGAUCACAUUUGGUAUCUGACCUGCAGCCAUAACAUCAGCAUGGAGGUAAGUGCUUUACAAUAUGCAUGUUCACUGUUUCUGUUACGAUGCCUCUGGGUGUGCUCACAGCAGUUUAUUUCCAUUCAACUGUAGCUGUAGUUUUCAGAUGCAGCCUUGAUCCCCACAGCCUUCAAAACUCAGAAGUAUUUCCAUAGCACCUGUAGUCUUGUGCCUGAAAGCAAUAUUGACUGUAGGGACAAGGAAGAGUUCAGCUGCUAGGCAGCAAGGCCCA
rnacentral:lncRNA from 1 species